rnacentral:rRNA from 1 species
GCUCAAAUUUGUAAUCUGGCGUCUACGACGUCCGAGUUGUAAUCUCGAGAAGUGUUUUCCGUGAUAGACCGCAUACAAGUCUCUUGGAACAGAGCGUCAUAGUGGUGAGAACCCAGUACACGAUGCGGAUGCCUAUUACUUUGUGAUACACUUUCGAAGAGUCGAGUUGUUUGGGAAUGCAGCUCAAAUUGGGUGGUAAAUUCCAUCUAAAGCUAAAUAUUGGCGAGAGACCGAUAGCGAACAAGUACCGUGAGGGAAAGAUGAAAAGCACUUUGGAAAGAGAGUUAACAGUACGUGAAAUUGUUGGAAGGGAAACACAUGCAGCCAGACUUGCUAUUCGGGGCAACUCGAUUGGCAGGCCCGCAUCAGUUUUUCGGGGCGGAAAAUCAUAGAGAGAAGGUAGCAAUUUCGGUUGUGUUAUAGCUCUUUAUUGGAUUCGCCCUGGGGGACUGAGGAACGCAGCGUGCUUUUAGCAUAAGCUUCGGCUUAUCCACGCUUAGGAUGCGGGUGUAAUGGCUGUAUAUGACCCGUCUU